rnacentral:lncRNA from 1 species
AAGAAAAUCAGUUUGCAUUAAAAAACAUGCAAAAUUUUCUUUAAGCUCUUAGCAGAGCUUCUAGCUGACCUUUAACUGCUUUCUGCAGUCUCAGAUGCCAUAUGCUGGACACAAAGUUAGUUCUAUCUGCAAUGUGCUAAGCUGAAACUGGGGGGUUCUCAGUCUGUCCUGCAAGAGCUUGAUGAUGCUGUGGUUAAUCAGGUAUUUUUGUAAGCAGAAAUUUUAAUUUUUACACAAUUUUUCAGAAAUGUUGAACGCCUAAUCUCAAGCUUGUCCCCUUAAAGCUUCUCAUUUAUCUUUUAUGCCUGUGGCUUUAUUUUCAUUUACAAUCUCCCAGCCUGGAUAAAAUGUCCUUCAGCACAAAAUUUGUGAUUUUUUCUCUUUUUGGCAGUAAAUAACCAAGAAAAUCUUAUUUCGGUUCACAUAACCUAAAUGCACUGUUUUAUUUAGGCUGAUCACCACAAAUAACCUUUUCAUGUACAAGCUCAGUCUCAGUUAAGUUUCUCGUUCUAAUAAAGAUUUGUGUUGGAGAUGUGACAGGAAUAAUACAACUACCAAAGAAACCUCUUCACUAUUAGUUGAAUUAAGGCUUGGAAAAGAGCAACCUACAUGAUGGUCCUAGAGGAAAUCUCCUUGUUGUAGCUAAAUUACGCAGUAGUUCAUUGAUUCAGAAUUAUAUAGUCUUUCUCUUUUUAAUGCUAAUGUCUCAUUUUGAUUAUUCAGGUAAGAUACCAAGCCCUGGAGAGGUGAUGUGACCUCAUCACCUUCCCAUGACUUUUGCCACUUAACGCAAUGCUGGUAAGCUCUGAAAUAUUCAGACUUUCAGUUCUGCAGAAAACAAGUGAAGCCCUGACUGAGUGCUUCAGCUCAGCACUAAGAACUAGAAUACAAUCAGAAGUUCUCCUUUAUUAGCAACCCCUCCGCAUCUUUCUUCAAAGUAUUUUUAUUACUUGCCUGGUAAGUGUAAACCUUGCCUCCUUCACAUCCAUGUUCACGUUCUAGCACUACCCCGAUUUCUGAGUAGAGCUCUACAACUGUUCUUAUUCUGUCCCUUUCUACCACCUACAUAGCUUCUGUGGGGUUAUAUUUGUUCUUUUUUCUGCUGAA